UACGAAGGGGGCUAGCGUUGCUCGGAAUCACUGGGCGUAAAGCGCACGUAGGCGGAUCUUUAAGUCAGGGGUGAAAGCCCAAGGCUCAACCUUGGAAUUGCCUUUGAUACUGAGGGCCUUGAGACCGGAAGAGGUCGGCGGAACUGCGAGUGUAGAGGUGAAAUUCGUAGAUAUUCGCAAGAACACCAGUGGCGAAGGCGGCCGACUGGUCCGGUUCUGACGCUGAGGCGCGAAAGCGUGGGGAGCAAACAGG
rnacentral:rRNA from 1 species